CUGGAGAAUGCUAUUAAAUAUAAAAAUUACCGGACAAAUCAAGUCUGACAUGAAAGUUUCAAAAAACAAACAAAGCCCUCGCGACCUGAGGUCUGUUAAGUCCUGACCCGACGCUACAGGGAGAACGGUCUUCACCGGCCGCGCUUGGGAAGGAUUUUCAACGCCGUUUUUCGCUGCCUCUUUGAAACGUUGGAAAACGUCUGAAAAUAUUUGGCGCGUUUCGGCUCCGUUUUGUCAACGCGCUUAACCCUUCACUUCAACGCCAGCGCAGUUGAGGGCUGGGAGGACGCCCUGCUGCGUGCUCCUAACCCUCCUUUCCCUGUAGUCCCCCAACGCACCUAAGCGCCUGCUUCACUUCACGCGCCCCUCUUUGGCCGACAGCAAGUCCAAGUUCAGCGCUGAACGAGGCCUUUCUGAGCUCGCACGCCAUGUAACCGCCUCAGCGCUUGUGGUUUGAACGCGAGCGUGGCGGCCUGAGACGGGGAGCCCACCGGCCGUAGAUGGGUCAUGAUGGGUCAGGACAAAAGGGCCAGAAAGACCUUGGUCGUGGGCACAUUCACAUCUCGGCAUGGGCGUUACAGCCGCUUGUAAGGUUGUACGGACCCACGCCGUGAGCAAAGCCGCCCUAAAACCAGCAGGGUUUGGGGGUUUGCUGGUAAUUCUGGGGGCUCGCUCGUACCCUCGGGAGGUCAGCAGAAACACGGUCCGCAGGAGCUUUCGAUGCCUCAGAGCCUCGUUGGAAACGUGGCCCUAGCGAGGGCUGAACGCUAGUGCAGGGGUCCCUCAAGUCACGCCGGAUGAUAACUUAAUUCUACUUUUUUCUGCCCCCUAAGCGCGGAGCGCGUGCUGGCUUUCGCAGCGCACCGCGUGUUUGCGGCCGGUGCCUCCCGAGCUGCUGCCGCGCCGCGGAAAACCGCCUUGGCAGACAGAAGCGGUCACGAGUUUGCCCUGCAAUAACGCUCCUUAUCCCACUGAACACUCAGCGGCUGGUGGUUAAUUCCCGGGGUCUGAAAGUCCAAUGUGAAGAGCUGCACCGUAAACCAAGGUUUCUGAAGGCCGGCCAGGUUUCUGAAGGCUGUCCAGGGCCGGGACAGGCCUGGACCUUGUUGGAUGGCUUGCUGCCCCCUGUUACCUGGGGACACCAUACAGCUGGCAGCGAGGCCCUCUUACUGCAACUACUGCCAUUAAUCUCUUCUUCUCCUUUCACCUCCCCGGCUGUCCUUCUGACCCAUGCGCAACACCAGGAAAACCCUGGGAAAACAAGCCAAGCCAGCAACCUGGCAUCCAUUGCAAGUCGCUGCAGAAACUGCGAGGGUUUGACAGCACUUCCAGGGUUGGAGGCAGGCAGGCAACCAACCACUCAUGCUCUUGCCGUUGUUUCUGUUUUUCUCAUUUCUCUGGAGCUACCAACAAUUGUGUCCUAUCUGAUUUAUUUAACUGCAGCUUCUGUCCCUUAUUUGCACCUCAAUCGCAGGAAGACAUGCCACAGCUCGUCCUAGCCCUGUGGCGGUAACCUUCAGCUGAUCAAGUUGCACGUGGAGUGCGAGGGCACACGGCCUUUUCCUGCGAUGUCUCCCGAGGGACGCGGAGGCACCUCUCCUCGGGCACGGGUGCUCCUGUCUGCAUCGCCACAACUGCUGGCUUUUGCAUGCUCCUGAACCUCGACGAAUGCUCGUUUUGAUAGCCGCACAGAAUAAAUGCACUUUCUAAGUGACA
rnacentral:lncRNA from 1 species